AUGUGCCGCGGCGGCGGCAUCGACUCCGACUCCGACGUGGACUUCGCGGGCCGCGCCAACUGGCUGCGCGCGGCGGUGCUGGGCGCCAACGACGGGCUGGUGUCCACGGCGUCGCUCAUGCUGGGCGUGGGCGCGGUGAAGCAUGAGGUGCGCGCCAUGGUGAUCUCCGGGUUCGCGGGCCUGCUGGCGGGGGCCUGCAGCAUGGCCAUCGGGGAGUUCGUGUCCGUCUGCUCCCAGCGCGACGUGGAGAUCGCGCAGCUCGACCGCGACGGCAAGCGCGGCGGCGACGAGGAGAGGGCGCUGCCCAGCCCGGUGCAGGCCGCGGCGGCCUCGGCCCUCGCCUUCUCCGUCGGCGCGCUGCUGCCGCUGCUGGCGGCGGGGUUCAUCGUGGGCUACAAGCUGCGGGUGGCCGUGGUGGUGGCCGUGGCGACGCUGGCGCUGGCGGCGUUCGGGGUCGUCGGGGCCGUGCUGGGGAGGGCGCCCGUGGUGAGGUCCUCCGCCCGGGUCGUCGUCGGCGGGCUGGCCGCCAUGGGGCUCACCUUCGGCCUCAUGCGGCUCUUCCGGGCCAGCGGCAUAUGA
rnacentral:rRNA from 1 species